UUGGUCAAUGGGCGAAAGCCUGAACCAGCAACGCCGCGUGCGCGAUGAAGGUCUUCGGAUCGUAAAGCGCUUUUCUGGGAGAUGAGAAAGGACAGUAUCCCAGGAAUAAGUCUCGGCUAACUACGUGCCAGCAGCCGCGGUAACACGUAGGAGGCGAGCGUUAUCCGGAUUCACUGGGCGUAAAGCGCGUGCAGGCGGUUCGGUAAGUUGGGCGUGAAAGCUCCCGGCUCAACUGGGGAGAGGUCGUCCAAUACUACCGGGCUAGAGAGCAGAAGAGGAAGAUGGAAUUCCCGGUGUAGUGGUGAAAUGCGUAGAUAUCGGGAGGAACACCAGUGGCGAAGGCGAUCUUCUGGUCUGUUUCUGACGCUCAGACGCGACAGCUAGGGUAGUAAACGGGAUUAGAGACCCCGGUAAUCCUAGCCGUAAACGAUGUGAACUUGGCGUUGGUGGCUUAAACACCAUCAGUGCCGAAGCAAACGCGAUAAGUUCACCGCCUGG
rnacentral:rRNA from 1 species